CCCUUAGAUGUCCUGGGCCGCACGCGCGCUACACUGAGUGUCUGAGAUACGAGUCUGCCUGGUCCGGCAAGGUCUAGGUAAUCGCUAAAAGACACAUCAUGCUUGGGAUAGAUUAUUGCAAAUAUUAAUCUUGAACGAGGAAUUCCUGGUAAGCGCAAGUCAACAGCUUGCGUUGAUUACGUCCCUGCCCUUUGUACACACCGCCCGUCGCUACUACUGAUUGGAUGUUUAAGCGAGGUUCUCGAACUGCUAGCGACUUAGCUUCGGUGAGGUCGCAGUGUGGGGAGUGAACCUAGCUUUGGUGUCUAGAGGAAGUAAAAGUCGUAACA
rnacentral:rRNA from 1 species